ensembl:lncRNA novel transcript, antisense to GZMK
AAAAAGGAAGACAUGAUUGUUUCAGAUUUGAAAAUGGCAAAUGCCUGUGGUAGAGUGGGUUUGCUUAUGGCAGAGCUGUGACUGCCUGGAAUGACCACUUUUUGGUUUCUACCAAAAGAGUUUAUUUUUAUUUAUUUUGGGAAUUCCAGCUCUAUUUGUUGAAAAGUUUGCCUAUUGCAAAAUCAGGACCGGGUGGAAAUUUCUCAUAGGAUGUGGACUGGAUUUCCUAGGAUUGAUUUGAAUUCAAAUUCAACAUACCCACUAAACCCAAAACUUUGUAGGAGAAGGAUGACAUAAAAAUCUUCAGGAUGAAUGCUCUAACAGAAAGGUGGGCACGUGCCUAAAUGACUCACACAAAGAAGGCUAUGAGGAGCCUUGAGCAUUUGAGAUGGAGUGAGGCCAUGUGGAAGGGGCUGUGGAAGGUUCCAUCUAACAACUUGCUAGGCAGGUUGGGGCAGGAGGAAGUGCUCUGUGAGAGGGGCCUGGGAGAGAAUCAGGAGAACAGGGUACAACAGCUGGUGAGAGUUUUGCUUCUGGAACAGAUGACAAUGCAUUGCCAGGCCUUCAAUACAAAAGGUAUUAGACUCAAGAUUCUACAAGAUUCUGUUUGUGCCAGACACUGAUCAGCAGUGCAAAUAUAAAAUGAAUACAAACAGAUCACGCAUCAGAAUGCCAAUCACUUCCUAGUAACACUGAUCAAAAUUUGCAUUAAAUCAACAGAUCUUUCUUUUAAGAGGUGUGUGGCAACAGUAAAGCUUUCUACAUGUUAAACAGAAUGAACAAAACCAACGCAGAGCAGUGACUUCCUGUCAGAGCAGAAGGAGACCCUUAUAGAACAGCUGUGCCACUGCUCCAAAGGCCUCGUGUGGUUCUAUCCCUUGGACUGCCUUUCUUCAACAGCCCAGACACCUGCUCUGUCAGAUUUAUAAGCCACACCCCCUAGAGCCAUGCCAAUCAAAGCAUGGC